UGACUAGAGAGUUUACUCAUCC
rnacentral:miRNA from 1 species